CCCGUAGCUCAGUAGGAUAGAGCGACGGAUUCCUAAUCCGUAGGUCACAGGUUCGAAUCCUGUCGGG
rnacentral:tRNA from 1 species